GUUCUAAGGCCUUUGCAAGUGUCUGUGCUGCUGUUAAAUUUAAUAGGCUCCAGCUGUGCAGGGGUGUUGUCAAGAAAAAAAGAACAAACUCAUGAAGAAUAAACAGGGAAACAGGAGCUACAUCAUUGGUUGCACCAUAUCAGAACCACUGGCUACCUAAACGGCAAACUAUCUUCUGUCUCCUGUUGUUCCUCAUGCCUCCCCAUCUCCGUCUGAGUUAAAACAUUGCUGAGGUACAAGCAUUGAGCAGCAAAGACCUGUGAUCAUUUCACUAAUCUGUAUCAACAAUCUCUACGUAACAAGACAAUACUGCAUUUUUCUGUGUUCAUUGUUCACCUCCAUACUGCUUUCCGUAAUUGCAAUUCUUGCCAGUUUACUGGUCGUUCUUGCUUUCCUUCCUUAUAAGAUGAGAAACAACAGAUGUCUUAUGCUGCCUCUGAAUAAGGAAGCCUGUUUCAUCAACCCUGUUGUCAUGGAUCGUAUGUGUGAAACUGAGUUUUGAUGACUAGGACUCCUUGAGGAUUAUGAGAAGUUGAUAAUUUGUUGUCUAGAUCUCUGAGUCAGAGCAGAGACUGUUCAACCUUUAGAAGCAGAGUUUUGGGAUUCUUAUGAGUGUCUAAAAACACUUGAUGGGAGAGAGCAAAGAUGAUGUAUCCAGGCCUUUUUCAGUGAUGUUCAGUGACAGAGCAAGAGGUCAUGGGCACAAACAGGAACACACAAAGUCCUCCUUAGUCAUUUGGAAGCAUUUCUGUGCUUUGCUGUGAGUACUGGCACAAGUAGUCCAAAGGUUGUGGAAUCUCCUUGAAGAUCAAAAGCUACUUGGGAAACCCAGGGCAGAUUUUCCUGCUUGAACAGAGGUUGGAUAAGUUGACCUUAGAGGCCCACUUCCACCUUAACUCUUUCCAGCUUUCCAGCCACUGUGGAUCCAGAGUAUCAGACUAUCCAGUAUCAGGCUGGAUGUGUGACUCUGGGAGGCCUGGUCCGGUGGUUGGUGAUCCUGCUCAUGGCAGGGAGUUGAUCAUUAUUGCUCUUUUCAACCCAGGCCAUUCUAUGAUUCACUCUGCCCCAAGCCUCUAGUGUUACCUGGGGUUGUUGAGACCAAAAUGCCGGUCCAAGCACUUGGUCUUGUUAG